AGAGAAGAAAAGUGGGUGCUGUGGGGUGAGUCAUACCCCAAUCUAGACAGGCCCAGACAGCUUCCCUGAAAGCAGAACUGGCCUCCGGGGAGACACUGGGCAGUCUUGGAACAUUCUAUUAUUAACACAGGCAGGAGUGCUGUACCCAUUGCCAUCCAAAAGCUCAGCAGUAGGGAGCAGUUCAGUUUCUUGCCCUUGUUCCGUUUUUCUUUUUUCUUUUCUUUUCUUUUCUUUUCUUUUCUUUUCUUUUCUUUUCUUUUCUUUUCUUUUCUUUUCUUUUCUUUUCUUUUCUUUUCUUUUCUUUUCUUUUCUUCUUUCCUUUCCUUUUCUUUUUUCUUUUCUUUUCUUCUUUCUUUUCUUUUCUUUUCUUUUCUUUCUUUUCUUCCCUUUUCUUUUUUCUUUUCUUUCCUUUUCUUUUCUUUUCUUUUCUUUUCUAGAUUUUAUUUAUUUAUUAGAGAGAGAGAGAGCUAGCAGGAGGAAGGGCAGAGGGAGAGGGAGAGAGAAUCUCCUGUGACGCCCCACUGAGCAUGGAGCCAGAGGUGGGGCUGGUCCCAUGACCCUGAGAUUAUGACCUGAGCCCAAAUCAAGAGUCCCAUGCUUAACCAACUGAGCCACCCAGACGCCGUGCCUUCAUUCCAUUUCUUGAUUGAGGGUGCUGUGGGGGAUGGAGAGGAGGAGAAUACAGACCAGAGACCUCAGACCGAAGUCCACGCCACCUGCACCUGACAGGGAAGGUCAUCAAUGCAGAUUCCUUCAUUUGCUCAUUCAAAGUGCUGCUGAUGGGGCAGACCGAGAACUUAUCUUUGUGACUCCUGCGACUCUUGAAAGAUGGACACACAGACAGCCUCCUGCACCAGCAAAGAUGGAAACUCCACGCAUACAUGGAUCAUCAGAGCCUGGGUCACAUAUUUGCCUCGUGGUUGCUCAGGAGGCUGGCAUUUGGGGUUCCACAUUCAUGUCCAUGACAACAGGGGAAAUUGUUGUUGACAAGCACCUUGACAAGGUUGAACUCAUAACGUGGGAAUUUCCACCGUUAGGGAGAGUCUCUCAAAGUGAUGACAGCAGCCAGGGGUCUGACAAAGGUGCCCCCAGUUCAUAAAUUGUAAUCAGAACUUUUGAAAAUACAUGGAAUGGAAACCCAGUUCAAACUCGGUUAAGAAAAAGAGGAAAUGAUUAACUUCCACAACUACAAAGUCAAGGUUCGUGCUGGCUUCUGUUGUGGUUGGAUGAAGGGACUCAAAUGAUGUCAUCAGGUAUUAGUCUCUCUUUCUUGUCAGAUUCUUUUAUGUGAAGUUCACGAUGGUCCUUAAGAUGCCUACGUACCACCUUAGAAUCGUGAGCAGACAUAGAGCAUUUCUCUCAGCAUGAAGGGCUUUGGCUCAAUUUGGGUCACACGCCCAUCCGUGAACCCGUCAUGUGCCAGGGACUGAGGUCACAUGCCCACUCCUAUGGGCCGAGGCUGUGAUGGUGUCACCUUCACUCCCGAACAUAUAUCAUAGGUUCCCCAUGGAUACAAGGAGGUUCCUGGCACUACCACUUACUACUUGUAUCAUCUUGGGAAGUCACUUGAUUCUUUGAGCCUCAGUUUUCUCAUCUGUAAAAUGAGAAUAAUAACAAUGUCUACUUCACACGGUUGUUAUAAGGGUUACACGAAUUCCUAUUUGUGAAGCACAGGAAAAAUGUUUGUCCUGUAAUUAGUUGUAUGUAAGUGUUUGCUAUUAUAAUUCUCUUCUGUUUGAGGAAGAGAGAGACAAUGAUAGGCAGGUGAAACUCAAACAUUUCUAUUGCAUCCUAGAUUAGGUAGUUGAAAACGUGAGUCUGGAAUUUAUAAAGAAAGGUCUUGGCUAAAGUUUGCUGAAUGCAGGAGUUUUCUCAAUUUCAGUGCUAAAAAAAAAAAAAAAAAGAGUGGAGCAUAUGACCUCCCAAGGGAGAAAGUGUGGAGAGGGAGGAAAAUAAAUAGGGAUCGGACAUAGCUCCA
rnacentral:lncRNA from 12 species